CACGGGGGGAGCAAGCGUUGUUCGGAAUCACUGGGCGUAAAGGGCGUGUAGGCGGUCAAGUAAGUGGAAUGUGAAAGCCCCGGCUUACCCGGGGAUCUGCAUCCCAAACUGCUUGGCUUGAGUACGGGAGAGGAUGGAGGAAUUCCUGGUGUAGCGGUGAAAUGCGUAGAUAUCAGGAGGAACACCGGUGGCGAAGGCGUCCAUCUGGCCCGAUACUGACGCUGAGGCGCGAAAGCUAGGGGAGCGAACGGG
rnacentral:rRNA from 1 species